AACGAGACGAGAUACCAAUUAGACUAUUAGAGAUUGAGUUAUAUAGUUA
rnacentral:guide_RNA from 1 species